UAAAUGCUGCCGACUGCUACCCUAGUUGCCGCUCUCCCGAAGAGCUUCGUGCCGAUUCUAGCCGCCACCUACACAAUCUACCAUUCAUGAAUCAACAUCUAGCUCGAGCAGGUCCUUCCAUCUUGACAACCCAACGCGGAGCCCCAACCCCAGGGGCUAUAUCCACGCCCGCAAGUGGAGGGACGAGCGAGGCGCCGCGAGAUCCACCGCGAGCCACCGCGCCGCCACCACACGUCCAACCAUCACCACCGCCAGGCUCCCCGCAUACUAAUCAACCCCCGCGACUGCAGAGUCACGACCCACUGUGACCUCCAGACUUUUCGGCACUGGGAACAACGGUGCGGCCCCCGGAGCAUUUUACAGGGGAAUUAGAGAGGAGGACUUCAAGUGUGGGGAGUGUCUCGCCCCGAAUUGCCCUGAUCAUCCACCAGUUGGGGUCAGAGCUUCUCAACUGAGCGGAUCAAGCGGAUAGCCAUGAGACUAGCCUUAUGGUGUUUCCAAUAAGGAUCUUGCAGUGUCCAUAGCUAGGUUUUAUUUUGGUAGUUAGUCGUGUGUCUGCGCACUUUUGCUUAUUGUAUUCUGGUGAUUGUGUUUCUUUGCCGUUGUCUGUAUACUGGUGAGCAAGGAUUGAAAUUAACGCAUUUUCGAAGACCAGCGACUCAUAUAGUUCCACAUGUAAAAUAUGUAUCUCAGGUGGGCACUUUAUAUGCUCGUUUUCGAACGUCUUAAAGAAAUGAUGAUAUCGAUAUCAUUCCUUCUUAAAAAACGGACUAUAUAUA
rnacentral:lncRNA from 1 species